CACCAGGUCGAGUUGUAAUUUGUAGAUUGUAUCUUGAGAGCGGAUUAAAGUCUGUUGGAACACAGCGCCUUAGAGGGUGACAGCCCCGUAAAAUCUAUUCUCAUUGUAAGAUACUUUCGAAGAGUCGAGUUGUUUGGGAAUGCAGCUCUAAGUGGGAGGUAAAUUCCUUCUAAAGCUAAAUAUUGACGAGAGACCGAUAGCGAACAAGUACUGUGAAGGAAAGAUGAAAAGCACUUUGAAAAGAGAGUGAAAAAGUACGUGAAAUUGUUAAAAGGGAAGGGUAUUGAAUCAGACUUGGUGCUGUUGUUCAACUGUGUUUCGGCAUAGUGUACUCAGCAGUACUAGGCCAAGGUGGGGUGUUUGGGAGUGAAAAAGAAGUAGGAACGUAACUCUUCGGAGUGUUAUAGCCUACUUUCAUAGCUCCUCAGGCGCCUCAGGACUGCGCUUCGGCAAGGACCUUGGCAUAAUGAUUCUAUACCGCCCGUCUUGAAACACGGACCAAGGAGUCUAACGUCUAUGCGAGUGUUUGGGUGUAAAACCCGUACGCGUAAUGAAAGUGAACGUAGAUAGGAGCAGUAAUGCGCACUAUCGACCGAUCCUGAAGUUUUCAGAUGGAUUUGAGUAAGAGCAUAGCUGUUGGGACCCGAAAGAUGGUGAACUAUGCCUGAAUAGGGUGAAGCCAGAGGAAACUCUGGUGGAGGCUCGUAGCGGUUCUGACGUGCAAAUCGAUCGUCGAAUUUGGGUAUAGGGGCGAAAGACUAAUCGAAC
rnacentral:rRNA from 1 species